UGGGAAUGCAGUAAUGUGGAAUGUGACCUCUUCGGAGGAAAGUACUUAGUCAAACAUUGGUCAAAAAAGGCAAUAAUUAUAAACAAGGACUACCUCUGAGAACAAUAGCCACAGCCACAAAUUAAAGAUCUCUCUUCAAAGGGCUUCAUUUUAAGCUUCAGAUUCCAAAAUGAUCGCCCUGAUCAGUAGAACCUUUCAAUGUAAGAACAGCCAGAAAUGAACAAGUCCUCUUAAUGAUGUUAUAAGGGAAAGCUGAUGCUUUAUACAACUUGGAAAAAAUGCAUGUACCUUGUGUUUAUGGCCAGGGGCACAGGUCAAAAAUGCAAAUCAUGUCCUCUGUGAACUGAAAUAAUCAAGCUUAAAGACAAUGGUGAGAUUUGAGUCUAUGUAUGUGUUAUCAAAGGAUAUAUGGAAUCUGCCUUCUCUACUUCCAUUCCAGCAUAUCGUCUCUGAAUAAGAAAUAAAUUGGUGGAAGCUAUUACCCCAAGUGGCUUCCAGAUGUUAACUAUAUGACUGAACAGAACUAUUCUCUUAUGAGAAGGGUAAGAGAGGAAAAUUAUUAGUAUAUGUGGUGAUUUUAAUAACCAUGAAACAUAUUUUUUUGCCUAUCAACUCCACCUGCACAAUGUAAAAAACUUACAUAAAUAGGAUACCUUUUUGUGGGGAAGAGGAAGAUUUAAAUCUAUAUAGCAUAUGUGAAUCUACUCUUUUUUUUUCUUUUAAAGAAAUAACC